CCACAUUAAAGAGUUUGAUAUUAUAAUUUUAAAAGAUAAACUCUAAAAAAAAUUCAUCACUUUUAAUUAAUACUACUAUUAUUUUCGAUCACUUUUUAUAAAAGACAUAUAAUUUAAUUCAUAUAAACUAAUUUGUAAUAAAAAUAGUUUACGUAAACUUGUACAUAAAAAAAAAUGUAAGUAAGUUGUUUAUUCAAACAAAUCCAAAGUUGCGCCAAAUAAAAUUCAAGCUAUAAAGUCAAUAACUGCUACUAGUAAUUAUUGUAAAAGAAAAGUUAGUUUAGUUGAUAUAAAGUUGAUUCAUACCUUACAAUGUGAUGAUGUUAAUUUCAAUUUUGUUGUCGGCGUGAAGACCUUGAAAACUAAAAUGACAUCUUAUUUGUAUAACUGAGUUGAGUUCGAACCCUGAACAUCUCAUUUUUCCCGGCUUACUAUAGUAACUAUA
rnacentral:lncRNA from 1 species